rnacentral:rRNA from 1 species
UACGUAGGGCGCAAGCGUUAUCCGGAAUUACUGGGCGUAAAGGGCUCGUAGGCGGCCAACUAAGUCAGACGUGAAAUCCCUCGGCUUAACCGGGGAACUGCGUCUGAUACUGGAUGGCUUGAGAUUGGGAGAGGGAUGCGGAAUUCCAGGUGUAGCGGUGAAAUGCGUAGAUAUUGGGAGGAACACCAGUGGCGAAGGCGGCUACCUGGACCGGUUCUGACGCUGAUGCGCGAAAGCGUGGGUAGCAAACAGG